rnacentral:lncRNA from 1 species
AGUGGGUGCCCAGACAGGGCCCAUGGCAGGAGGGCAGUGGGCACAGAGGAGGAAGGCCGGGCUGCUCCCUGCUUCUCCUCUCCCUCCUCCUUCUCUACGUAGCAAACAAGGGACAGAGCCCAAACUGUCAUUGGGCAUCAAUCUGUAGCUUCAACCGCGAAUGCCAUUUCUUAAAGUCAGACAAAAGAAACAUGUGGGGCACAAACCCGAAGAGUUUAGGAAAACACUUCUGGUUUAAAGAGGCCUGUCAAAUGGCCCUUGCACAGACCCCGCCGACCCACCACCAGAAUCCCUGCAAUCCACAGAGACCACAGCUCACACUGCUGCCACUCCCGCAGGUGGACAGGCAAGCUAGGCUGGGGAAAUGGGGUGAAACGCACCACUC